GACGUAGGGCGCAAGCGUUGUCCGGAUUUAUUGGGCGUAAAGAGCUCGUAGGCGGUUCAUUGCGUCAAUCGUGAAAUCCUGUGGCUCAACUACAGGCUUGCGGUUGAUACGGGUGGGCUGGAGUUCGGUAGGGGGAGACUGGAAUUCCCGGUGUAGCGGUGAAAUGCGCAGAUAUCGGGAGGAACACCAAUGGCGAAGGCAGCUCGCUGGGACGUGACUGACGCUGAGACGCGAAAGCGUGGGGAGCAAACAGG
rnacentral:rRNA from 1 species